CUUCUUUCCUGAGCACCCUAAAAAAAUCAUCUUUCCCGUUCACACUUUCACACAGUAGCAUGUUCCUCUUGCCCGAUCCCCUUUUUCUCUUCCUUAUUCUCUCCGCUAGUGCCGCGGGAUUGCUCCCAAUAGCUCCCUCCCUUGAUUCGGUGCCUUGAGCUUGAUCGUCCUCACCUGCAGGCUGCAGCCACCCCUUGCAGCUCGAUUCGCUGGUGCGGCUAGUGGCUGGUUUGUCUCCUCAUAUGCCUCCUCGGUCUGUUAGGCUGGUAAACGGAGAUGAGGGGCUAGCAUGGCCCAAGGCGGAGCUGCGCAAGGGAGGAAGCUAGAUCCUCAAUCUGCACGCUGUUUUUAUUGUCGGCGUCCGUGCAGGUGAUGUAGUCUUUACUCUUUAGUGUGAGGAUGUUGGAGACAUUUUCUACCCCUGGAGCGCCAGCCAGACAAAUCCUCCACAUCGGCAACAUUCUUCUAAGUUCGAUCUGCAGGUCCCCUUUUUUCCUUUUCCCGAUUCUGUCAUAUAUUUAUUUUUUUCGUAACCGUUUCUUAUGUUUGUGUGAUUGAACCAAUAUAACCUUUGAGCUGAUUAAAUAGAAAUUUAUGAAAACAUAUUUUAAAGUCCUAAAAAAAUGCAUGUAGAUGUGCUUCAUAAGAUUUAAUUAAAUGAAUUUUUCACUUUUUAUGUACUAUCAAAAUAUUUUAGUUCAGCAUGUUAGUCUUUUAUGGAGAACAUGCAAAUAUAAAAGAAAAAUCAUAAUCAGGUGUUAGGACGAACACUUAACAUGUAAGGAAAAACUCAGGAUAGUCUCAAAUUUAAAGGAGGAUUUUUAUUUGUUUAAUUCUGAAUUAUUUGGCUAUUUGAAGCUUGGGAGCGAAAGGUAUGCACUUGAUAUUGUGUUACAAUACUUUUAUGGAAGAUAAUAUAGAGAAAGUAGUAAACAUACACGUAGAAAGGUUCCACUACCAAAACAGCACCUGCAUCAUAUUUUGCAUACACCUAAUAAGAUGGAGAAAAUGGAGAACUUCUUCUUAUCAAGCCUAACUUUUUAUCUGCACUAUGACUUGUAACAAAAAACUAUCAGAUUUUAUAAAACAUAAAUUAGAUUAGUUUUAAUCUCAUGUUGUGGUAGGCACCUUCUUUGAAUCUGUCCCUUGCCAUUCUGAAUAUUUUUGCAAGUAUAUUAUCUCUAUCCAGCAUAUUUAAGUUCCUCGGCGAUGUGAGGAUCUAUUGACUCCAUUUUAUCUUCAGACGUGGACGCAUUAAUCCUGUUUCUUACCUCAUUUUCAGUGUCACAGAUGUACAACUGUGCCCAGCGUGGUCUGUCUUUACCUUCAGGUAGUAGAGUUCCUAUUCUGUGGUAGUUUUGCCCAUUCAUUCUAAAAACAUAGGACCCACUGCUAUUGUUUAUUUCUUUUUCUAUUUUCCCUCCCAUUGUCGUGAAAGCGAACAUGGAGUUGUACAAUCUGAUAUUUUGUAUAUAUUUUUUGACCUGUUUCUGUUGUCUUUCCUUAGCAAUUUUGCAAGGUAAGUCUGUAGCUCUCUAAAUGGUGGCAAAACAACCUUCCCUGUUGGCAUCAUAGUCCGAAAGAUGGCAUGCUUUUCACUCUACCUGACGUUCUUUCUUCGUACCAGAAAAUUACGCCACAUCGUCACACUUGGAGCUUGGUUUUCCUAUUAGUCCUUUCCGAUAUCCUGUCCAAGUUUCUGAUUUAGCAUCAAUUUAAUAUUAGUAUUGUCUCGUAUUGUUGAUACUUAAAAAAAUCAAUAGAGCUUAUGUAUCUGGUGUUUAUUUCUUUCUGCUUGAUAUUGAUGUAGCACAAUUUUUCUUACUUUUAGUCAUGUACAUGUACAUAACAGAAAUAUGGGGUUCAUGAAUGUCCAAACUUUAGAUGUUGAUUCUAUUUUCUUGUUGCUUACCUCAUAGUCUCACCAGUCUGACCGAUUAGUGCCCUUUUUUGUCGAUUGUUCUGCAACCCUUGUGCUUUGUAUUUUUAUUUUCCUAUGUACUCUUGUCUCUUUAGCCUUUUCUGUUUUGUUAAUUGCCCUUCGUAACCAUAAAUACCAAUUAGUAGAAGUAAGAGGGAAUUUCCUUCAUAAGCAACUUAUUACCCAUGGUCGCAGUCAUUGUUCAUUUGAACAUUUGUAUAGGACAUUGUUCCUUGUGGCAAUGGAACAUUAUUUCCUCAAUAUUGGUUUAGACAGAGUGCAUUUGUUUUAUAAUGAUUUUUUGAAAGCAUACUUCAUAGGUACAGGCAGAACCAAAUGUAACAUGUUUCUGUGAUUUAAUAGAGCAAUUUAAAUUAGCCCUGCGUGAAGAUAUGGAAUUGCAUGUGCAACCGGAGUUAAUGAAGGAAUAUUUUAUGUUUAGAAAGAUUUGAGCACAUAGAUAGCAUAGUUGAUGUGCAAAGCAUAAGCAGGGUACAUAAUGUUUGCUUCAUGUAUACUAUACUAUCAGUUGUGCGUCAUUACUGGUAAAGUUUAGAAUCACAUGGAUUAUAAUACACAUAAGGGUAAAACUUUGUGAAUAUUUUCUUACUUCACCUAGAUUAAAGGUUGUUCUUUUGGUGUAGUUAUGUAGUGUAGGACAUCCCCAUGUAUGAUCAAAGGCUCUAUUUUUCUUGUCUUGUGGUUUCAUUCUCCUUUCCAAUCUUGCCAUUUUUUGGCUCAUUGUCUGGACUUGCUUCAAUAAGAUAACAAUUUAAAAUAUUGUUUUCUUGUCCAAGCUAAAAUCAAUUAGGAACCUCUUGUGGCUACUUGGAAUUACUGCCUUUUUAGUAGUAACAUUAUUGUGAUACCAAUAGAAGAUUCACAAUUAAUAACAUAUCACCUUGUUACCACCGGCGGAGCUUCAGCAAGGCUGAAAGGGCCAUGGCCCGCCCUUCACUGAAGCAAAUAAAGUUUUAUAUGAAGUCUAACCCACAACAAUAUUGAUUUUGUACCUUGUUACUACUCUUUAUACUAUCCAGCCCGCCCAAUAUUUUUUUGGUAGCUCCGCCACUACUUGUUACAUUGCUUAUUUGUUUUUUAACCACGUUGGCUGGUCUCUGAAAUUCCUUGCUGUGUGGCCCACCUUUUAUUUUGGCUGUUUAUUCCUACACAAUAGAAAAUGCAAAUAUAAAGUUAAAGAGGAUGAUAUUAUAAUAUUAUUAGAGACAGUGGCAGACCCAGAAUUUGUGUUUUUUGUGGGGCAACAGACGACUACAAAGAUCAGUGUCGGUGCGCCCAUUGGUCUUUGGAGAGGGGAUUAUCUUGCUCUGCCACUUGAGACUUGGGGCCGGCCAGCCCUGCUCGUGCCAAAUGAAGUAAAGGAGAUCAACUUUGUGCUGAAAUCUUUAAUGAUAAAGAGGAUCUUAAGUUCCAAUCAUCACGUGAAGUCACAAAUAUUGAGUAUCUUUUAGUAGCAGCCGGCCAAAGCCAUAUGUACCUGAUUAAUGAGGAUCCGUACCUUCUCUGCCAUGAACAUGGCUCUGUUCUGGAUUCGUCGGAGAUUGGGCUGCUCGAUUUAACAUCUCCGUCGGCUGCUGGGAGUUGGGAAAUCCUGAAUCCGAUGGCGAGGACUCAGAUUCAACAUCCAAAUUAGGGUAUCCAAUGCAUUUCCAUACAGAGACUCGCAUCUUUCUUCAUCGCUCUCGAUCAGCGUCUCUGCAACCGGAGCUACUAUGAAGUUACGGUGGGAGGAGCCACCUGAUAGAUACUCGCAUCCCGUCGAGAGCUCCAAUUGUUGUUCUUCAUGUGGCCAACAGAAGAUUGGUUUUUGGGAGAAACGGAGCAUGAUUUGUUGAAUCGGAAAGGGCUUGGAUGAAUCAUGGAGGAGUACUGAUGUAGAUUAGGGAAGGCACGGAGCAAGAUGAAUCAUGGAGGAUAAUUGAUGUAGAUUAGGGAAGGCACGGAGCGAGAGAUUGUUUGAAGAUCUUGGUGCAUAGGGUAUGUGUCCACCUAUUCUUUUUUGUUGACAUCAAGGGUCCGCCUAUUCUUUUUAUUAGACUAUAAAAAAAAACCUAUUCUUUUUAUUGUGGGACGACUAUGACUUUUUUCAAUCAUGAGAUCGUAGAACAGAAUUGAGAGAUUA